rnacentral:rRNA from 1 species
GAUGAACGCUGGCGGCGUGCCUAAUACAUGCAAGUCGAGCGAACAGACGAGGAGCUUGCUCCUCUGACGUUAGCGGCGGACGGGUGAGUAACACGUGGAUAACCUGCCUAUAAGACUGGGAUAACUUCGGGAAACCGGAGCUAAUACCGGAUAAUAUAUUGAACCGCAUGGUUCAAUAGUGAAAGACGGUUUUGCUGUCACUUAUAGAUGGAUCCGCGCCGCAUUAGCUAGUUGGUAAGGUAACGGCUUACCAAGGCAACGAUGCGUAGCCGACCUGAGAGGGUGAUCGGCCACACUGGAACUGAGACACGGUCCAGACUCCUACGGGAGGCAGCAGUAGGGAAUCUUCCGCAAUGGGCGAAAGCCUGACGGAGCAACGCCGCGUGAGUGAUGAAGGUCUUCGGAUCGUAAAGCUCUGUUAUUAGGGAAGAACAAAUGUGUAAGUAACUAUGCACGUCUUGACGGUACCUAAUCAGAAAGCCACGGCUAACUACGUG